AGUGAACGCUGGCGGUAGGCCUAACACAUGCAAGUGGAACGGCAGCACAGUAAGAGCUUGCUCUUACGGGUGGCGAGUGGCGGACGGGUGAGGAAUACAUCGGAAUCUACUUUUUCGUGGGGGAUAACGUAGGGAAACUUACGCUAAUACCGCAUACGACCUACGGGUGAAAGCAGGGGAUCUUCGGACCUUGCGCGAUUGAAUGAGCCGAUGUCGGAUUAGCUAGUUGGCGGGGUAAAGGCCCACCAAGGCGACGAUCCGUAGCUGGUCUGAGAGGAUGAUCAGCCACACUGGAACUGAGACACGGUCCAGACUCCUACGGGAGGCAGCAGUGGGGAAUAUUGGACAAAGGGCGCAAGCCUGAUCCAGCCAUACCGCGUGGGUGAAGAAGGCCUUCGGGUUGUAAAGCCCUUUUGUUGGGAAAGAAAAGCAGCAGGUUAAUACCCCGCUGUUCUGACGGUACCCAAAGAAUAAGCACCGGCUAACUUCGUG
rnacentral:rRNA from 1 species